UACGAAGGGGGCUAGCGUUGCUCGGAAUGACUGGGCGUAAAGGGCGCGUAGGCGGAUGGCACAGUCAGAUGUGAAAUUCCUGGGCUUAACCUGGGGCUGCAUUUGAUACGUGUUGUCUAGAGUGAGGAAGAGGGUUGUGGAAUUCCCAGUGUAGAGGUGAAAUUCGUAGAUAUUGGGAAGAACACCGGUGGCGAAGGCGGCAACCUGGUCCUUGACUGACGCUGAGGCGCGAAAGCGUGGGAGCAAACAGG
rnacentral:rRNA from 1 species